GACGAACGCUGGUGGCGUGCUUAACACAUGCAAGUCGAGCGGUAAGGCCCUUUCGGGGGUACACGAGCGGCGAACGGGUGAGUAACACGUGGGUGACCUGCCCUCAGCUCUGGGAUAAGCCUGGGAAACCGGGUCUAAUACCGGAUAUGACUCCAUGACGCAUGUUGUGGGGUGGAAAGCCUUGUGCGGCUGAGGAUGGGCCCGCGGCCUAUCAGCUUGUUGGUGGGGUGAUGGCCUACCAAGGCGACGACGGGUAGCCGGCCUGAGAGGGCGACCGGCCACACUGGGACUGAGACACGGCCCAGACUCCUACGGGAGGCAGCAGUGGGGAAUCUUGCGCAAUGGGCGAAAGCCUGACGCAGCGACGCCGCGUGAGGGAUGACGGCCU
rnacentral:rRNA from 1 species